rnacentral:rRNA from 1 species
AAAACUUUCAACAACGGAUCUCUUGGCUCUGGCAUCAAUGAAGAACGCAGCGAAAUGCGAUAAGUAAUGUGAAUUGCAGAAUUCAGUGAAUCAUCGAAUCUUUGAACGCACAUUGCGCCCGCCAGUAUUCUGGCGGGCAUGCCUGUUCGAGCGUCAUUACAACCCUCAGGCCCCCGGGCCUGGCGUUGGGGAUCGGCGGAAGCCCCCUGCGGGCACAACGCCGUCCCCCAAAUACAGUGGCGGUCCCGCCGCAGCUUCCAUUGCGUAGUAGCUAACACCUCGCAACUGGAGAGCGGCGCGGCCACGCCGUAAAACACCCAACUUCUGAAUGUUGACCUCGAAUCAGGUAGGAAUACCCGCUGAACUUAAGCAUAUCAAUAAGCGGAGGAAAAGGAACCAACAGGGAUUGCCCCAGUAACGGCGAGUGAAGCGGCAACAGCUCAAAUUUGAAAUCUGGCUCUCGGGCCCGAGUUGUAAUUUGUAGAGGAUGCUUUUGGUGAGGUGCCUUCCGAGUUCCCUGGAACGGGACGCCAUAGAGGGUGAGAGCCCCGUCUGGUUGGACACCGAUCCUCUGUAAAGCUCCUUCGACGAGUCGAGUAGUUUGGGAAUGCUGCUCUAAAUGGGAGGUAUAUGUCUUCUAAAGCUAAAUACCGGCCAGAGACCGAUAGCGCACAAGUAGAGUGAUCGAAAGAUGAAAAGAACUUUGAAAAGAGAGUUAAAAAGUACGUGAAAUUGUUGAAAGGGAAGCGCUUGUGACCAGACUUGGGCUUGGUUGAUCAUCCGGGGUUCUCCCCGGUGCACUCUUCCGGCUCAGGCCAGCAUCAGUUCGCCCUGGGGGAUAAAGGCUUCGGGAAUGUGGCUCUCUCCGGGGAGUGUUAUAGCCCGCUGCGUAAUACCCUGUGGCGGACUGAGGUUCGCGCAUUCGCAAGGAUGCUGGCGUAAUGGUCAUCAGUGACCCGUCUUGAAACACGGACC